AGUUGGGUGAUAAUCCAAUAUCUUUGGAUUCAGUUAAGCGCUAAAUUCAAGUAUAUACGAGUAUGAUGAACUACCAUAUCCAGUAAUCUUGGACUCAGCCAAACGUUGAACCCAUAUGCAUAGACAUGUUUUUUCUCUAAUAAAGUUAGAGAUAUUUUCUCUGUGAUAAAGUCAGAAAUAUUUUCCCUCUAAUAAGUUAGAGAUUCCCCCCCCUAAUGAGUUAGAUAUUUUGUCUCUUUAACGCAUAAGAGGAUUGAAUGUUAUAAGAAAAAGAGGACCUUUUAGUUCUCUCCUCAAUAAAAAGGUAAGAAGCAUAGACUAUAAAGACAUAUUGAAUCCUCGUAAGCUUGACUCUCAAUCUCCAUUCUUCAUGACAUAUUUAUUUUCAAGAGUUUCUCUAAAAAAAAAAUCUUACUUAAACAUCAAAGAGUCCCUAAAUUUAUAAAAUGAGACCUUUUAAAGAUAUCAAACACCAAUCACCCGCCACCUUGACAAUGAAAAAUGAAUCAGAUUACUAGAACUAAGAGAUUAACAGAAUAUCAAACACAUAAGACCUGUUUCCCAAGCUACUUUGAUUUUUUAGGCAUCAUCAAUAACAUCAAGCGGAAAGGGGGUGAAUAUAUAUAAUUUGAUAACUUAGUGAUCUCAAAUUUAAAGAUUAUUUAUAUAAUUUUCAUGUUAGUAUUUUCAUAGACAUGAGUAAUAUUUUUAUAUGGAAUUUUUAUGCGAGUUAAUUUAGUGUAUAUUUUAUUUAACUAGCAUAUGUAUAUUAGUUCUAGGUAUCCAUUAUGCAUCAACUUAUAAAAACAACUGUUUCCUUUCAUAAAAAAAAAAGAAUAUAAUAUUUACUAAUUUCCUCCACUCUAAUUAAUAUUAAGUUUUAAUAUAACAUUGACUUGUAAUAAUACUUUGAUGCAAUAUGAGUCCUUAUUAAUUAUAACUAUUUUAUGAUUUUCUUUGUAGAAUAUUUUUUUUCUCAAUGACUUUAUCUUUAAUUUAGACUCAUUAAUCAAACUUAAAUGAAUAUUAAAGAUAAAAAAAUGUUUUUAUUGAUAAUAAAAUAUAUGUUUUGCAUGAACAAAGUUAGUGCCAUUUGUAACCACCUGAUUGGCUACAUGGUAUACACACUAACAAGUUGUUAUUUGAAAUUGGAUUUAUCACUAGAUCAGAAUGAAGAUCCCUGCAAGCUAGGAUACUUCUUCAAACAACAAUCUUUCUUUUUCCUAGUGUCUAACCUUUGAUGUUAAGGGAGUAACACAGAUUGAGGUCUUGUCUUCGUUGUUGUAAAGGAAGAUAUAACUAUAACACUCCUAUUUGUAAGGAUGAAGAGGAUUCCAACAUACUUCUUGAAAGGAAAAUCAUGGUAGGAGGAAUUUAAGUAGGCUCUCCCCUGUAUAGAUAGAGUGUAGGUUAUGAUUUGAUUUUACAUUACUAAAUCUUGGAAAAUAGGCAGUUUCCUAUAUUUGAAUCCACAAUAAAACUCUAAAGAUUUUUCUCUUUUCUCAUAAAAGGUUGAUCUUCAACUCUUGCUUGACUUUCUUCUAAUUCCUUAUAUAUGUGACUUGGUACAUAAGGUUCUAAAGCAACUACUUUACCCUUAUUAUGUUUUGGCUGGCUUGUUGGAUUAUAAUGGAUUGGAUACCUGCAUAUCAAGUAUAGCAGAAGGGCCAUAUGUUCUCUAUAUGAGAAGUAAGUUUGUGUUUUCUUUCACUCUCCUCGUUAGUGAGCUGACUUCAUGUGCACCUAGUACUAAAUCUUCAAAGGGAUUUGUUAAAAUUUAUGUAAAAGAACGAAGCUUCUCACCUGCUAGGUGUAGGCCUUUAAUUAAGGCCAAAUCACGCAAAUUAAUGGUAUUUUCGAGUGCAAAAAUAUUUUAAAAAUUAACCGUUAUUAUUUCUUUAAACACUUUUUUAAUUGGCUAACAAGCCUAUUGUUCAUCAAAACUUUGAUGCACUACCUAACCAUAUAUAUGAUAUUUAUCUACAAGAAAAACGCUAUGUCAUAUUAGGAUCGAUUUCUUCUAAUUAUUGAGGUUUAUGUGGUCUUUUUACAAAGGAAGUCUUUCCCUUUUGAUAUCCAGAGCAAAGUGACGAUCUUCUUCUUCUUGUAGUGCAUUUUCAUAAAUUGGGUUAAGGCACUGUCCAUUUGUGUUUCUUGAUGCAGUACAAAUUGUGGACAUGCAAUAUACAUUAUGCACAAUUCUAGAAGCGGGUGCCAAGUUUGGAUUUUAGUGAACCAGAGCUUGAGGUUUUCAUUUUGGUGUUUUUGAGAAGAAGGAGGCUUAGGGUCUUAAUUCUUUUCUUGUUCUGAAAAAAUAUCUGAGUUUUUUAAAGAAGAAUUAGGGUUUUAAAUUGAGGAGUUAAUAUUGAAAUUUUGAAGCAAAUAACAGAAUUCUAAAUAUCGUGCCUAAAUAGCCAAAGCACACACUGUUUGAAAUGAUAUUACGUUCCAAACGAGGUUAGACAAAUUUUAAAAAUAUUUUUUGUUUAAAAUUUUUUUUUUUUUUUGUGUUUUUGGAUUGUUUGGAUAUGCUAAUAUAAAAAAUAAUUUUUAAAAAUAAAAUAAUUAUUUUGAUGCAUUUGGCUAACAAGCUAGACAUAAAGGCGUUAUGUGUAUUUUUGGAUAACAAUGUGUACUUGUCAUGUCAUUAUUGUUGAUUUAUUCAACUGAUUUCAAUAUAAAAAUAACAAGGGAUACUCCUUUAUAUGUUCUAAAAUAAAGGAAUAUGAAGUGCAAUGACUGAAUAAGAACAACAAUUGUACACUACCAAAUAAGAAAAGGAAAGCUAAAUCGAUCAUGAAUAGUAACAUCUACCGAGAACAAGAAAAGUCAAAUCGACCAAGCAAGAUAGGAAAAUUUCGACUAAGCAAGAUCGGAAACGAUCAACAAAGGGAGUUGGAAGUCAUAAUCUUCUAGGAG
rnacentral:lncRNA from 1 species